AGUGAACGCUGGCGGUAGGCCUAACACAUGCAAGUCGAACGGCAGCACAGUAAGAGCUUGCUCUUACGGGUGGCGAGUGGCGGACGGGUGAGGAAUACAUCGGAAUCUACUUUUUCGUGGGGGAUAACGUAGGGAAACUUACGCUAAUACCGCAUACGACCUACGGGUGAAAGCAGGGGAUCUUCGGACCUUGCGCGAUUGAAUGAGCCGAUGUCGGAUUAGCUAGUUGGCGGGGUAAAGGCCCACCAAGGCGACGAUCCGUAGCUGGUCUGAGAGGAUGACCCGCCCCACGGGAACUGGGACCCGCCCCAUCCCCCUACGGGGGCCAGCGGGGGGGAUUUUUGCCCAAGGGCCCCAGUCCGUCUCCACCCAUCCGGCGGGGUAGAAGAGGCCCUUUGGUUUGUAAGGCCUUUUUGUGGGGAAAAAAAACCCGCAGUUCAAUCCCCCGUUUUCCGGACGUUCCCCAAAAAAAAAGCCCCGCCUACCUUGGCG
rnacentral:rRNA from 1 species